rnacentral:rRNA from 1 species
GAUGAACGCUAGCGGCAGGCCUAAUACAUGCAAGCUGAACGGUAAAUGUUGUAGCAAUACAAUAUGAGAGUAGCGUAAGGGUGCGUAACACGUAUGCCAUCUACCCGCAGCAGGAGGAUAGCUCCCCGAAAGGGGAAUUAAUACUCCAUAAGAUCACGAGAAGGCAUCUGAUUGUGAUUAAACUCCAAGGGGUUGCGGAUGAGCAUGCGCAUGAUUAGUUAGUUGGCGGGGUAACGGCCCACCAAGACGAUGAUCAUUAGGGGAACUGAGAGGUUGAUCCCCCACACUGGCACUGAGAUACGGGCCAGACUCCUACGGGAGGCAGCAGUAGGGAAUAUUGGUCAAUGGGUGAAAGCCUGAACCAGCCAUGCCGCGUGCAGGAAGAAAGCCUUCUGGGUUGUAAACUGCUUUUAUCUGGGGAUAAAAUACCCGUGCGCGGGGAAUUGAAGGUACCAGAUGAAUAAGCCACGGCUAACUACGUGCCAGCCGCCGCAGUAACAC